ensembl:lncRNA
GGAGGUCCAACAGGGGGCGCCGCGUUGGAACGCCCAAAGGGGUUGGGGGUUCGGGUGCGGUGGGCGAGCAAGCGAGUGUAUGGCGGCCAGGCCCAGAAGGCCACGAGGACCGCUGGCGCCGAGGCGUCAGUCUUUCAGACUCCAAAAGUAGCAAAGGCCGAGCGAGGAGGUUAGGGGCUCCCAAAGGCCAGCCCUUGGGGCUGUUGAUGGCCAGGCUAACCCGACAGGAGGCGCCGCUGCCACCGAGUGACUGGCUACCAGAUUCUGAAACCCUAAGUGCCUUGGAUGAGUGGGGCUUAAGAGACCACAGAACUGGGUCAAGGAUUAAGCUCAGUGGCACCACACCUGCCUUGCAAGCUCAAGGUCCUGGGUUUGAUCCCUGGUACCAAAAAAAAAAAAAAAAAAUUAGAGGCCACAGAACUACAGCCAGACAUUUGAGGAAGCAGCAAAUACAAAAGACAGCUGAGUGGCCUGGCCAAAGACAGCUGAGAGAUUUGGUGUGGUGAGAGCCGAGGAUGAGCACCACGUGGAUGGACUGGAGGAUCAUCUUGGUCAGCCAGAUCAUCAGGAGGACUGGAGAAGGCACGCCAAGGUGCGCUACCGGAUUGUGGCUACCUGCUGCACACUGGUCAGCAAGGCAGUUUCCCCGCCGCCCGCCCCCGCCGGAUGAAGAUGGCAGGAGCGAGCCACCUCUCGGCUCCCCUUCCCAGCAUCCAAGCCCCGGCGGGCCAGAUGCGACACCUUUUCCCCGGCCAGGGCCACGCUCCUUCAGACUCGAGGUACUGUGCCCUCGCAACAGACGCGACCCGCACUCCACCCUACUCCCCUUUCCGCCCAAGACCACCGCGCAGACCCUGCGGUCGCUUUUCUCCUUCAUCCUAGCGCUGCGCGCCAGCAGCCCAGGAACUUCCAGCCGAGCCGCAGGCAGCCCCGCCGCCUUAGCAGCUGCGCGGAAAGGAUGGCGAUGCCCCGACGUGAUCGAGUCCGCGCUGCCAACCCGAGUAGCCCCCAAGGGUACCUCCAAAAGUUUCUGUACCUCUACCCGCAGCCCUCUUAAGGACCGGCGAUUGGACCAGGAGAGGUUGGCGCUGUGGGGCACUGACAGGUGCGCGCGCUCUUUUCCGUGCUGGGGACCCACGAGUGCCUGAAAGGUGGUCAGUCGUGGCUAAGAUUGGUGCACAGCGGCGGAGGGCACUGGCUCUAAAUUAGCAGCGCGAGAGGAGCUGGGUUCCCGGCUCCGAGCCCGCCCGGCCCGGCCCGGGCGCGCGCCUGCUACUUCCCUCCGGAACCGGCAGUCUCUGGAGUUCUCGCCCAAUCCCUUUCUGGUUACUUUUCGCACAUUACAACAGUGUCUACUGCUCGGCGGCUCUGGAACAGAGAAAGCUGGCGCGCGCACCUCCAAGCCACAUUUCGGGCACUCGCCCAAACCAACUUAUUUGAGACGAAGGUUUGGAGGAGGAGGGAAAAACAUGCAUAAAACAAGUGACUUACCAUUGCCGCUUUGGUGUGCAGCUCACAACCCUAGUGUGCACAGGAUUCAGUUCCUUGACCAGGGCACCGGCUCGGGGACCUCAGGUUGUCCGUGGUGAGGCGCAAGGAGCGCCCCACUGUCCAACAAACCUUUGGCCAUCCGGGGCACCCUGGGAAGACUUGGGAAGCCUGGCCUGGCCUGCCCACCCUGACCGUUCUGGGCCCACUAGCUGAGCCCCCCCCCCCUUCACCUUGCCUCUUACCUAUCUCCCCCCCACACCACCACAGCGCUCACACUCCUUAGGGCCCUCCUCAGUUGACCAGUGGGCAGCUGCUCAACUAACCUGCGUCCAUGAAAAGAAGGAGAAUCCGUACGGCGUCCUCCGUUAGUAACGCUCGGAUGGGGAUGGGUCCUCUUUUCGAAGCAGACUCCGGGGACCUGUCGCGGCGGGUGGGCUUUUUGGCUUGCACGGCGCUGCUUCUUGGGCUCCUCAGACUCUUCAGGUUCCGUCGGAUCCUUCUCCUUGGGCUCGGGCUUCUCCUCCUGGCUGGAGCUGUAGGGCUCCUGAGUGGUGGGCUGAGGGCGACUCGGGGAGGCUUCGGGGCUCUGUAACCAGAGCGUGCAGGCGCUGGGUGAGCGAUUGGUUGAAGGUAGAGCCCUUGGGCACCACGGGGCCGCGCUCGUCCUUGGGCUCGGAGUCGGGCUCAGUGGCAGGGGCGGUCUCGGCCUCGGCCUCCGUCUCCAUCUGGGUCUCGUAAUCGAACUCUUCGCACUCUAGGCACUCGGGAAGGGGAGAGCUCAAGGUCCCCAUCCUCAUGGUCGUGGUCAGAGUCAGAUUCAGGGGACUCGGGGAAUACCUGGGCGCUGGAGCGGUGGUGGGCGUUCAGGAAGCUCCGGCGCUGCCCCCGCCGUGCGCUGUUGGGCACGGGGCGUUGGAGGUGGCAAGGGCGCGGAGGAGCGCGAUGGAGCAGGAGAGUCAGAGGAGCGCGGCGGCCGAUAGGUGGGCACAGAUCGCUGUAAUUAUGGCCGGCUCGGCGCCACUGCUGAGCCCGGGACCUCCGAUCCAUCCUCAGGCUCGCACCGAGAAGCCGACCCGCCCUCUGGCCCUGCAGAGAGCGGCUCCAAGGCGCAUCGGCUGCUGGAGCCGGAAAAGGCGCACCUUCGGAGGUGAGAAGUGGGUCCAGAGGUCCCGCGUCGCACCUCCGUAUGAGGAGAGAAAAAGCACCUACCUUCCUGACCACUUACGAACUUUCUAAAGCGCCGCGCCUCUGCUUGCCUCGCCAACCCCAAACACGGGAUGGGAAAGGGGGAGAAAAGAUCUGUCUCCUCCCGGGCUCCUCUCGCUGUCUUAGACUCCGCAGUCCGAGACUCGGGAGAGGCGCCUCCGCUGGUUCUCUCGCCUGGGAGAGGAAGAGGAGACUGAGGCGGAAGAUGGGGCGGUGAGGUCCUGCGAAGUUGCGCGCCUGCGCCCGCACUUCUGCCGGGCGUGUGCAGUAGGGAGGUGGGGGCCGCCUCCCCGCGAGCUGCGCUGUGGCGCGGAGCCACCUGUGGGCCGGCAGGUGGCAGGAGGGAACCUUGUUUGGAAGGAUUUGGGCGAAGUCGUGGGAGGGGAGCUGGCGCUGGCGAAUGCCAAGGAGCGCCCAAUAGCCACAGGUAGGUUAGCUUGGGCAGCUGGAGCCGAUUUCUCCACGGAGGCUGCUCCCUCCCCACCCCAUCUUCUCCUGGACGAGAUGAACAUAGUCCAUGAGCAGCUGAAAAGGAGAUUGCAACAUUGCAAAUAUUCAGGGGAAUAAGGGUCUCUACAUGAGUAUUAGUGACCCAGCCCGGGGGAUUUUCUAAGGCCUUAACAGUGUGAGGAUGGUAACCUCGGGCAGUCAUUAGUCCCGAAACCACCUUUGGCGGACUUGUUAUAGUGACGGUGGAGUCUUGAUCGGCCGGUUGCCUCAUGGACAGACAGGCGAGCCUCUUCUUUUAAGAAGGGCCCCACUGUUCCGGAGGGGAGGCUUUCAAGUCUGCAAACCCGUGCUUGGCCCCAGCUGAGAAGGAGCGGAAGACAGAGGGAGAGCCAGGAGAUCCGGGGCCGGGGAAGGCGGCCGUACUCACUCCUGGUCGUCCUCACCUCGGGGAGGAGGGGUGGUCGGCUAGCGCAGAGCCUUCGCCAGAUGCUCCUACAGCUGUUUCUUAGAAGCCCAGAGCACUUCCUGUGAGAUGCCUGGGGCACCGGUGCCCUUGUCCUCCUGCUACAAGGGGUCACCUCAGCCAGCCUUUCACUUUCCUCCACCCAUCAGUGCCACUCCAGCCUGCCUCUCCAGAAGCUUUGGUGCAGGGAUCACGAGGCUAAGGGGCGAACUUGUGAGUUAACCACAGAGACGGCUGCCUCGUUCCCAUGGAGAAACCAGGUCCCAGCCCUAGGCCUUCC